AUUGAACGCUGGCGGCAGGCCUAACACAUGCAAGUCGAACGGUAACAGGAAGAAGCUUGCUUCUUUGCUGACGAGUGGCGGACGGGUGAGUAAUGUCUGGGAAACUGCCUGAUGGAGGGGGAUAACUAGUGGAAACGGUAGCUAAUACCGCAUAACGUCGCAAGACCAAAGAGGGGGACCUUCGGGCCUCUUGCCAUCGGAUGUGCCCAGAUGGGAUUAGCUAGUAGGUGGGGUAACGGCUCACCUAGGCGACGAUCCCUAGCUGGUCUGAGAGGAUGACCAGCCACACUGGAACUGAGACACGGUCCAGACUCCUACGGGAGGCAGCAGUGGGGAAUAUUGCACAAUGGGCGCAAGCCUGAUGCAGCCAUGCCGCGUGUAUGAAGAAGGCCUUCGGGUUGUAAAGUACUUUCAGCGGGGAGGAAGGGAGUAAAGUUAAUACCUUUACUCAUUGACGUUACCCGCAGAAGAAGCACCGGCUAACUCCGUG
rnacentral:rRNA from 1 species